rnacentral:lncRNA from 1 species
UAUAAGAGGACUUGGACUAGCCAUAAUGUGGAUUGCCAGUCAUGGGCUGAAUCAUGACAUUCUGGAUUACCAGUCAUAGGCCGAAUCAUGAUGUCUUGAUUUGUCACCAUGGGUCGAAGCACAGAUAUUCUAGUUUGCUAUCAUGAGUCGAAGUGAAGAUAUCUUGAUUUGUCAUGGUGGAUCGAAGUAUAGAUAUUAUGAAUUGCCAUCACAGACUGAAGUAUGGUUUAUAAUUUGUCAGUCAU